rnacentral:misc_RNA from 1 species
GGACUAUUAAAUUCUAAAAUGCUUUACGAAAUUAGCUAAAAAUUAAAAAAAAAAAAGCUUUACGAAAUUAACAAAAAUGGAAAAUUAUUUAUCAAUUUAACCUUACAUUUUUUUUUUGCAGAUAUUUCACUACUCAGGGAUGGUUACCAACACCGUGCCCGCAAAGCUCUCCUCGGUACCCUAUACCUAAACGUACCAGAUACCGGUCUCAGCGAACCACCUCCACCGCGCCGAGCAGCCAAACC